CCUACGGGAGACAGCAGUGGGGAAUAUUGCACAAUGGGGGAAACCCUGAUGCAGCUACGCCGCGUGAGUGAGGAAGUAUCUCGGUACGUAAAGCUCUAUCAGCGGGGAAGAAAAUGACGGUACCUGACUAAGACGCCCCGGCUAACUACGUGCCAGCAGCCGCGGUAGUACGUAGGGGGCAAGCGUUAACCGGAUUUACUGGGUGGAAGGGGAGCGGAGACGGCAGAGCAAGUCUGGAGUGAAAUGUCGGGGCCUAACCCCGGAACUGCUUUGGAAACUGUACAGCUCGAGUGCAGGAGAGGGAAGCGGAAUUCCUAGUGUAGCGGUGAAAUGCGUAGAUAUUAGGAGGAACACCAGUGGCGAAGGCGGCUUACUGGACUGUAACUGACGUUGAGGCUCGAAAGCGUGGGGAGCAAACAGGAUUAGAUACCCGGGUAGUC
rnacentral:rRNA from 1 species